rnacentral:rRNA from 1 species
AGCGAACGCUGGCGGCAGGCCUAACACAUGCAAGUCGAACGGACCCUUCGGGGUUAGUGGCGGACGGGUGAGUAACACGUGGGAACGUACCUUUUGGUUCGGAAUAGCUCUUGGAAACGGGAGGUAAUGCCGAAUGUGCCCUUAGGGGGAAAGAUUUAUCGCCAUUAGAGCGGCCCGCGUUGGAUUAGAUAGUUGGUGUGGUAAAGGCGCACCAAGUCUGCGAUCCAUAGCUGGUCUGAGAGGAUGAUCAGCCACACUGGGACUGAGACACGGCCCAGACUCCUACGGGAGGCAGCAGUGGGGAAUCUUGCGCAAUGGUCGAAAGACUGACGCAGCCAUGCCGCGUGAAUGAUGAAGGUCUUAGGAUUGUAAAAUUCUUUUAGUAGGGACGAUAAUGACGGUACCUACAGAAAAAGCCCCGGCUAACUUCGUGCCAGCCGCCGCAGUAAAAC